GAUGAACGCUGGCGGCGUGCCUAAUACAUGCAAGUAGAACGCUGAAGGAAGGAGCUUGCUCUUUCCGGAUGAGUUGCGAACGGGUGAGUAACGCGUAGGUAACCUGCCUGGUAGCGGGGGAUAACUAUUGGAAACGAUAGCUAAUACCGCAUAACAGUAGAUGUUGCAUGACAACUAUUUGAAAGGGGCAAUUGCUCCACUACCAGAUGGACCUGCGUUGUAUUAGCUAGUUGGUGAGGUAACGGCUCACCAAGGCGACGAUACAUAGCCGACCUGAGAGGGUGAUCGGCCACACUGGGACUGAGACACGGCCCAGACUCCUACGGGAGGCAGCAGGAGGGAAUCUUCGGCAAUGGACGGAAGUCUGACCGAGCAACGCCGCGUGAGGGAAGAAGGUUGUCGGAUCGUAAAGCUCUGUUGUAAGAGAAGAACGAGUGUGAGAGUGGAAAGUUCACACUGUGACGGUAUCUGACCAGAAAGGGACGGCUAACUACGUG
rnacentral:rRNA from 1 species